rnacentral:rRNA from 1 species
UGAGGAAUAUUGGUCAAUGGGCGAGAGCCUGAACCAGCCAAGUAGCGUGCAGGAUGACGGCCCUAUGGGUUGUAAACUGCUUUUAUAUGGGAAUAAAGUGAGGGACGUGUCCCUUAUUGCAUGUACCAUACGAAUAAGGACCCGUUAAUUCCGUGCCAGCCGCCGCGGUAAUACGGAAGGUCCAGGCGUUAUCCGGAUUUAUUGGGUUUUAAGGGAGCGUAGGCUGUUUGUUAAGCGUGUUGUGAAAUGUAAGAGCUCAACGUUUAGAUUGCAGCGCGAACUGGCAGACUUGAGUGCGCACAACGUAGGCGGAAUUCAUGGUGUAGCGGUGAAAUGCUUAGAUAUCAUGAAGAACUCCGAUUGCGAAGGCAGCUUACGGGAGCGCAACUGACGCUAAAGCUCGAAGGUGCGGGUAUCGAACAGG